UCGGAUAUGGUGUAAUGGCCAACAUUACUGCCUUUCAUCCGAGAGUGUUGUGAAUGUGCGCGGUAGCUCGGGGUUCAAUUCCCCGUAUCCGAA